GCAAACUUGGUCAUUUAGAGGAAGUAAAAGUCGUAACAAGGUUUCCGUAGGUGAACCUGCGGAAGGAUCAUUAGCGAAAUCGAACUCGGGGGCGUGCCCCGCCCUUGCACCGGCGCGAGCCGUGCUGCGGGGCCUGGCGCGCUUUCCCUGAUCCAAACCAAACCCCUGUGCACUUCACGACGACGGGGAAGGCGUCCUCGAGGCGCCAGAACCGUCCCGUCGCUCACAAAAAACACCGAGUCUUAACUUGUGAAACAGCGGGCGCUUGCCUGCCUAAACUACAAAACAACUUUCAACAACGGAUCUCUUGGCUCUCGCAUCGAUGAAGAACGCAGC
rnacentral:misc_RNA from 1 species